AGCUGUUCAUGUUUGAAUCUCCUCUUUGAUUCUCCAGUUUGAGCCUUGACAUAUGAAUGCAGCCUGUUUUUAAUCAGGACAUGGACUGAUUGGAUCAAAGUUAUUAGUUUUGCCUGGAGGCAAAAGUUUUUCAGUCAGUAAAGUUCCUUUUGAAGCAUCAGAAUUUGCUUAAGCAGAGGCUAAGGAAAAAUAAUAUGAGUAUUCAAAACUAAACAAGUAUCACUCAGUUCAUCAAUAAACUCUCUAAUGAGGCUGGAGAUAAGGACACAACAUUGAAAAACUGAGAAACAGCUCGUUAGACAAUAAUACCAUCUAACGAAGGGCUAAAGACCAAGCCAUACAAGCACGCUGUGUACAAAGCUGCCCAUGGCUGAAGAAAGAUCUUUGAUUCACUACAUCUCAUUUGGGAAUUUCCCUCAUCUUCCGUAUCUUUCUAAAAAACUCAUAAUCAAGCUGAAGUAAUCUGUUCUUCUGGAGUAGUUUUUUUGACAGUAUCUCCCAUUAUAACUAUACUUCAUUUGAAACACUACAACAUUAACUGGAAAGAGGAACAGAAUAGGACUCAUCAUGGUGAAUUACCUAGAGUAAAAUCCAGUUGCUCCCUAGCACGUUAAACAUGGGAUUCUUGUAUACAUUACAGAACUGACACAGAUGAAGCAACAGAAACUGAAAGUUCAAAUACUGAAACGUUUCUGGAUGCAUAUUAGAUACCUUUGAGCAGAAAUAUAUGUAUCUGGCAAAUUUCGCUAGCAGAAAUCUCUGUAGCUUCCUCACUUUUAGCAGAACAGCACUUUGAACAUUAGUAGUACCUAACAAAAGUCCUUCUUGUGAAGCAAACCCUGGAUGCUGCAGGUUUAAACCAGUGAGAAGUUUAGCACAUGAAUGAUGCAGAAGUGUUGAUUGGUAUAUGUCAACAGAGUCAUAGACAAAGUGUUGAUGCAAGUGCUUGUCAUCUAGAACGUUGAAUUUCAAUGCAAGUGUGGCAGUGAGACUGAUGGACCCCCAAUACUGACAGGAUAUGGCAACUGGGUAGAUUAUGCUCAUCUCAAACUUACAGAAGCAAUCCCUUCACUAUUUUUCCUAUGCGUAUUAGCCUUAUGUAGAUUUGAAACCAACACAACUUCACAACCUUCUGAUGUUUCUCUUCAGAAAAACAAACAAACGAAGAAAGCAGGGACAGAAGCAACAGCAGUACUGGUACUAAGCAGUGGAGUGUAGUGGUCAGAUCAAAUAUUCUGAAAAUUAUGUAGCAUGUCAUCUUGACAAUAGCCUUGACUUAACCAGAAACUAUUUUUUGUAAUUAGUAUACUCAGACGUUUUCUUUAUAUUCAGAAUCCAACUGUUCUAACGUUCUGAAAAACAGAACAAAAAGAAAAACAAGCCUUUAAACCAGUCUGACAACUGCAAUUAAAUCAAUCAUCCACUCAAAUUCAGGUAUUUGUAACAUCAGGUAAUUUAACAAACAUCUUUCAACCAUAACAGCUCAAGGCACAUUUGUUUUAAAAGCACUUUAAUAGAAAAUUUCAGUAUACCUCCCCCACUAAGAUCGUUCUGUAAAGAAUGCACUUCUAACUAUAGAGGAUCAAAAGGACUGAAUAGUCACUUUAUAAUUUUCAACAUUUUUAUAACUUCUUAGGGAACUAUGCCUAGUUGUGAACAAAUCAAAAAUUGCUUCUGGAGGGAAAAUAUUUAAUGAAAAGAAGAUUAUUAUCGUAUUUUAACAUAAAGAUAAAUUUAAUACAACUAAUGGCUACCAUUCCUAUUAUAUUCUUGUGUGUUACCAUCAGACUUUUAAAUGAGAAGAGGUGCUUGGGUUCCAUCUGUGACAAAGCACAGAAACAGCAAAAGAGCUAGAAUAUUCAAUUGCUUACAGUUUGCAGUUUCAUUAUACCAUGGAGAUCAUGAAGAACUGAAACCCAGACUUAUAAGCCCAAUAGAGGAAAGCGCUCAUGGGAAACUGAUUGAAAGUAUUUUGAGGUAAGAAAGAUUAAGGCUUUUUUAUGCUUUUCCUAGCUUUGUGCCUGGGGACAAUAUACUCUAGAACAUCUGUAAAGUUUACUGGAAUUUUUGCUGAUAUACCUAAUGUUGACCUCAUUAUCCACAUUCUCUAUAUAAUUAUGAUGAAUGAUUUUCAGUUUAGUAGACCUAGCAAUUUACUUGUUCUUACUUUACUAAGCAACCCCAUUUUUCUCCUCCCUACGAAGAAUAUAAUCCAGCGCUGCAGUCAAAGGUAGGAUUCAAAUCUUAACCAAGGGAGGAGAUGCAUAGACUAUACAUUUAAUCAUUGAGAUUUAAUAAUUGCAGAUUGAUGAAUAAUCUGUUAAAGUAAAAGCACUGUAUGGGCUCCAUUCCUGCACACACUGAUACCUUUAGCAGGCUCUGACUGCCUCGCUAUUGCAAGAGCUGAAGGGCUAUUCAGCUGAGUAGUGCCCACACAUUAGGUCUGAUGAAAGAUAGACUGAAGCCAUUACAUUCAGAUCUGAUGAUACGAGUGAAUCACAUAAAUUGACAGCAUGGUCUAACUUUUUAUCAAUAUCUGAUCAAUAUUAUUGUUCAGACAAUAAAAGGCAAGCACUUCUUUUCUUGACAGGAAUAAAUAGGUGCUUACUGUUUCAUACAGAAAAGGGAUUUUACACAUACAACCUAAAGGUCUACCGUUUCCUAUCAAUGUAAGACUUGUAUAUUCUGUGGGAGAACACACAGUGGGCCAGAGGUGUAAAAAGUCACAUAUAACAGUAUAGUAUCAGAUCUCCAGCUUUGGAAUAACUGAGCAAAUUUUUAGAGUUUUGAAGAAGACAGAUACACACGUUAUUCUUAGAAGAAGCUGAUGAAUCACUAGCAAGUAUUUACUAACCAAUGUUAAACACCAUUAUUUCAGGUUCCUUGAUACAUUCUUAAUACAGUAUUUCUAUAAAUCAGUUUUUGUAUGAGAAUCUGUUGAGGGUAGCAGUUGCUAAAAAUACAAAGUACAUGUAAAUCACCCAAAACAACGAGAUUUACUUGCUGAAAAAAAGAGAUUUCUGAAAUAAGUAGUAUGAUAUGUGGAGGCUGAAUCACUCCCAGUGGUGCCAUCUUUUUCUCUGCUGACUUUUCUGGAGAUAGGAAAGCUAAAUUGCCAAAAUAUGAAUUUAAUCC
ensembl:lncRNA